rnacentral:rRNA from 1 species
CACAGGUGGUCGGGUAGAGAAUACCAAGGCGCUUGAGAGAACUCGGGUGAAGGAACUAGGCAAAAUGGUACCGUAACUUCGGGAGAAGGUACGCUCUUGAUGGUGAAGUCCCUCGCGGAUGGAGCUGACGAGAGUCGCAGAUACCAGGUGGCUGCAACUGUUUAUUAAAAACACAGCACUGUGCAAAAUCGCAAGAUGACGUAUACGGUGUGACGCCUGCCCGGUGCCGGAAGGUUAAUUGAUGGGGUUAGCGCAAGCGAAGCUCUUGAUCGAAGCCCCGGUAAACGGCGGCCGUAACUAUAACGGUCCUAAGGUAGCGAAAUUCCUUGUCGGGUAAGUUCCGACCUGCACGAAUGGCGUAAUGAUGGCCACGCUGUCUCCACCCGAGACUCAGUGAAAUUGAAAUCGCUGUGAAGAUGCAGUGUACCCGCGGCUAGACGGAAAGACCCCGUGAACCUUUACUACAGCUUGGCACUGAACAUUGAACCUACAUGUGUAGGAUAGGUGGGAGGCUAUGAAGACGUGACGCCAGUUGCGUUGGAGCCGUCCUUGAAAUACCACCCUUGUAUGUUUGAUGUUCUAACUUAGCCCCAUUAUCUGGGGUGAGGACAGUGCCUGGUGGGUAGUUUGACUGGGGCGGUCUCCUCCCAAAGAGUAACGGAGGAGCACGAAGGUGGGCUAAUCACGGUUGGACAUCGUGAGGUUAGUGCAAUGGCAUAAGCCCGCUUAACUGCGAGAAUGACGGUUCGAGCAGGUGCGAAAGCAGGUCAUAGUGAUCCGGUGGUUCUGUAUGGAAGGGCCAUCGCUCAACGGAUAAAAGGUACUCCGGGGAUAACAGGCUGAUACCGCCCAAGAGUUCAUAUCGACGGCGGUGUUUGGCACCUCGAUGUCGGCUCAUCACAUCCUGGGGCUGAAGUCGGUCCCAAGGGUAUGGCUGUUCGCCAUUUAAAGUGGUACGCGAGCUGGGUUUAGAACGUCGUGAGACAGUUCGGUCCCUAUCUGCCGUGGGCGUUGGAAGAUUGAAGGGGGCUGCUCCUAGUACGAGAGGACCGGAGUGGACGAACCUCUGGUGUUCGGGUUGUGUCGCCAGACGCAUUGCCCGGUAGCUAAGUUCGGAAUUGAUAAGCGCUGAAAGCAUCUAAGCGCGAAGCGAGCCCUGAGAUGAGUCUUCCCUGACAGUUUAACUGUCCUAAAGGGUUGUUCGAGACUAGAACGUUGAUAGGCAGGGUGUGUAAGCGUUGUGAGGCGUUGAGCUAACCUGUACUAAUUGCCCGUGAGGCUUAACCAU